rnacentral:rRNA from 1 species
CGGACGGGUGAGUAAUGUCUGGGAAACUGCCUGAUGGAGGGGGAUAACUACUGGAAACGGUAGCUAAUACCGCAUAACGUCGCAAGACCAAAGAGGGGGCCUUAGGGCCUCUUGCCAUCGGAUGUGCCCAGAUGGGAUUAGCUAGUAGGUGGGGUAAUGGCUCACCUAGGCGACGAUCCCUAGCUGGUCUGAGAGGAUGACCAGCCACACUGGAACUGAGACACGGUCCAG